GCGGCAUGCCUUACACAUGCAAGUCGAACGGCAGCACGGGGGCAACCCUGGUGGCGAGUGGCGAACGGGUGAGUAAUAUAUCGGAACGUACCUUUGAGUGGGGGAUAACUAGUCGAAAGAUUAGCUAAUACCGCAUACGAUCUACGGAUGAAAGUGGGGGCUCGCAAGACCUCAUGCUCAUAGAGCGGCCGAUAUCUGAUUAGCUAGUUGGUGAGGUAAAGGCUCACCAAGGCAUCGAUCAGUAGCUGGUCUGAGAGGACGACCAGCCACACUGGGACUGAGACACGGCCCAGACUCCUACGGGAGGCAGCAGUGGGGAAUUUUGGACAAUGGGGGCAACCCUGAUCCAGCAAUGCCGCGUGAGUGAAGAAGGCCUUCGGGUUGUAAAGCUCUUUUGUCAGGGAAGAAACGGGAUGUCCUAAUACGAUGUUCUAAUGACGGUACCUGAAGAAUAAGCACCGGCUAACUACGUGCCAGCAGCCGCGGUAAUACGUAGGGUGCAAGCGUUAAUCGGAAUUACUGGGCGUAAAGCGUGCGCAGGCGGUUAUGU
rnacentral:rRNA from 1 species